rnacentral:rRNA from 1 species
GACGAACGCUGGCGGCGUGCCUAAUACAUGCAAGUCAAGCGGACAGAAGGGAGCUUGCUCCCGGAUGUUAGCGGCGGACGGGUGAGUAACACGUGGGUAACCUGCCUGUAAGACUGGGAUAACUCCGGGAAACCGGAGCUAAUACCGGAUAGUUCCUUGAACCGCAUGGUUCAAGGAUGAAAGACGGUUUCGGCUGUCACUUACAGAUGGACCCGCGGCGCAUUAGCUAGUUGGUGGGGUAACGGCUCACGAAGGCAACGAUGCGUAGCCGACCUGAGAGGGUGAUCGGCCACACUGGGACUGAGACACGGCCCAGACUCCUACGGGAGGCAGCAGUAGGGAAUCUUCCGCAAUGGACGAAAGUCUGACGGAGCAACGCCGCGUGAGUGAUGAAGGUUUUCGGAUCGUAAAGCUCUGUUGUUAGGGAAGAACAAGUGCAAGAGUAACUGCUUGCACCUUGACGGUACCUAACCAGAAAGCCACGGCUAACUACGUGCCAGCAGCCGCCGUAAUAC